rnacentral:rRNA from 1 species
GACGAACGCUGGCGGCGUGCCUAAUACAUGCAAGUUGAGCGAUGAAGAUUGGUGCUUGCACCAAUUUGAAGAGCAGCGAACGGGUGAGUAACGCGUGGGGAAUCUGCCUUUGAGCGGGGGACAACAUUUGGAAACGAAUGCUAAUACCGCAUAACAACUUUAAACAUAAGUUUUAAGUUUGAAAGAUGCAAUUGCAUCACUCAAAGAUGAUCCCGCGUUGCAUUAGCUAGUUGGUGAGGUAAAGGCUCACCAAGGCGAUGAUACAUAGCCGACCUGAGAGGGUGAUCGGCCACAUUGGGACUGAGACACGGCCCAAACUCCUACGGGAGGCAGCAGUAGGGAAUCUUCGGCAAUGGACGAAAGUCUGACCGAGCAACGCCGCGUGAGUGAAGAAGGUUUUCGGAUCGUAAAACUCUGUUGGUAGAGAAGAACGUUGGUGAGAGUGGAAAGCUCAUCAAGUGACGGUAACUACCCAGAAAGGGACGGCUAACUACGUG